rnacentral:rRNA from 1 species
CACGUAAAAAACUCGUGCAAACUAGGGCCUGGCCAAAUCGGUUCCCGCCGCCGGGGUAAAUCCGACCGCCCGAAUGGGUAGCGAUAUUAAUUGGUCUUAAAGCUCCGUAGCCGGAUUGGUCAAUUCUUCGGGAAAUUCCACAGGUUAAACAAAAGGCCUUCGGGAGAUACUACCAAACUAGGAACCGGGAGAGGUAAGAGGUACUCCAUGGGUAGGAGUAAAAUCCUGUAAUCCCUGGGAGACCACCAGUGGCGAAGGCGUCUUACCAGAACGGGUUCGACGGUGAGGGAAGAAAGCUGGGGGAGCGAACCGGAUUAGAUACCCGGGUAGUCCCAGCCGUAAACGAUGCACACUAGGUGUCUGAGCAGGGCUUAAGCCAAUUCAGUGCCGCAGGGAAGCCGUGAAGCUAGCCGCCUGGGAAGUACGGUCGCAAGGCUGAAACUUAAAGGAAUCGGCGGGGGAGCACAAGGGCGAA